UACAGAGGUCUCAAGCGUUGUUCGGAUUCAUUGGGCGUAAAGGGUGCGUAGGUGGCGCUGUAAGUCGGGUGUGAAAUUUCGGAGCUUAACUCCGAAACUGCAUUCGAUACUGCGGUGCUUGAGGACUGGAGAGGAGACUGGAAUUUACGGUGUAGCAGUGAAAUGCGUAGAUAUCGUAAGGAAAGGCCGGUGGCGAAAAGCGAGCCUCUGGGACAGUUACUGACGCUGAUGCACGAAGGCCAGGGGAGCGAACAGG
rnacentral:rRNA from 1 species